rnacentral:rRNA from 1 species
UCUACGGGAGGCAGCAGUGGGGAAUAUUGGGCAAUGGGCGCAAGCCUGACCCAGCUAUGCCGCAUGAGUGAUGACGGUUUUCGGAUUGUAAAGCUCUUUCGUCAGGGAAGAAUUAAUGACGGUACCUGAAGAAGAAGUCCCGGCUAACUCCGUGCCAGCAGCCGCGGUAAUACGGAGGGGGCGAACGUUGUUCGGAUUUACUGGGCGUAAAGGGAUCGUAGGCGGCCAUUCAAGUCAGAUGUGAAAGCCCAGGGCUCAACCUUGGAACUGCAUUUGAAACUGGGUGGCUAGAGUCAUGGAGAGGAUGGCGGAAUUGCAAGUGUAGAGGUGGAAUUCGUAGAUAUUUGCAGGAACACCAGAAGAGAAGUCGGCUAUCUGGCCAUUGACUGACGCUGAGGGUCGAAAGCGUGGGGAGCAAACAGGAUUAGAUACCCUGGUAGUCCACGCCGUAAACGAUGAGUGCUAGCUGUCGGAAUCUUUAAGGUUUCGGUGGCAAAGCUAACGCAUUAAGCACUCCGCCUGGGGAGUACGGUCGCAAGAUUAAAACUCAAAGGAAUUGACGGA